AUUAAGCACUUAGUUGAAGAUCACUGCACUGAUCAGGCCCCGAAGGCCAAAAAAGUGCUGUCUGCUGUUAGUUUGAUUUUUGUCAUUUCUAUUGAUUUAUUUUAUUUAUCAAUGUUUCUUUGAGUUAUAAUUCAUUGACCUAUUUCAAUAGUGCAGGUUCGCUCAUGUAACCUAAUCCCACAUGUAUGUAUGUACAAUCUCAGUUGAAAUUUUGAGUGGCAGGCAAGCUGGCAAUAGUAAUAGGCAGCAGAGGCCAAAUCUUGUCCUGAAUAGAAGUCUGACAUGUGUGAAAUUGGCAGCUAUUUCAUUGUAGGUGGCCAAAUUGUUGGCUGCAGCACAUUUUGACCUGGCUGAUUGUGUGUGUUAUGUAUGUGUUCUUCUUUUUAGGUGUUAAACAGGUCAAAGUACCGAAAAAAACCUCUGUGAUAACUUGGUAGUCUAAGAUGUAAAAAUUUUUAAUAAUAAGCUUCAAGAACAAGUACAUAAUUGCAGGAAAAGCUUGAAGCUUGAAAAAUUGACUGAUGAAACUGGAACAGAUGUCAUGAGAUUUGUACAAUAGGUUGGCCUGGGAGGGACCAAGAAUUAAAGAAUUCAUUGAUUCUCUUACACCUUUUGUCUGCAUAGUGUGCUUCUGUAGAGCUUAGUUAUUGCUGUAGAAAACGUUUUUGGAGGGCCCUUGAGAUCACUCACUUUUGAGCUAGUUGCCCCUAGGGAAGAGGAUAUCUGUACUUAUUAUCUCCCUUGGGGGGGGGGGGGUGAAGGGUUAAAGACUGAUUCUUCUCCAGUAGCCACAAGUACCCCUGCAUAUGGAAAUUUUGAACACUAUUAAAGGGCUAGUACCCUCAUUUCAUACUUGAAUUUCUAAUUUAGUGUAAGUUAUGACAAAUAAUGAAUGUAAAUUCAUCUUGGUUGUACAGGUUAUAUCCAGCAGUCCUUAAAAAAAAUAAAAAGGUAUUUUUCUGAAUUAAAAAAAAAGUGUUCUUGCUUCAAAGUAAGUGCAUGAUAUGUCAUUCAAUUAA